UCGAAUGCAAGACGGCGUUGCCGUCGCGGUGCACAACCGCUCCUCCCUUGCUUAUCAGUACCUUUGUUUCCUCGGCGGGUACGCUCGCCGCUGGACCUUUUGUUCAACGCUUCUGUUGUUUGCAGUGUUGUCUGAGCAUUACGCACCAAUUGUCA
rnacentral:misc_RNA from 1 species